rnacentral:rRNA from 1 species
GACGAACCGUGCGAACGUUGUUCGGAUUCACUGGGCUUAAAGGGCGCGUAGGCGGCCGAUCAAGUCAGAUGUGAAAGUCCUGGGCUUAACCUGGGGACUGCAUUUGAUACUGAUUGGCUUGAAUUCGGGAGAGGAUAGCGGAAUUCCCAGUGUAGAGGUGAAAUUCGUAGAUAUUGGGAAGAACACCGGUGGCGAAGGCGGCUAUCUGGACCGACAUUGACGCUGAGGCGCGAAAGCGUGGGGAGCAAACAGG